AUGGUAGAAUUGAGAUCAUUACGUAGGUUUGAUGAGCUAAGAUAUGCAGAACUUUUUACUGUGUAUCUGAACAGGGAAGAAGCAUAUGUAGUAGACAAAAGUAAUAUGGAAAUGACUUUGAGGAGGAGAAAGGGAAAGAAAAAGCCGCAACAAGCUAGCUUGUAUAAUAAUACGGACAGAGAAAUCGAUCUGACAGAUCCAGAUAUGGUGGGCCCAGCUUUGUGCGAUGGGGAGGGGUCUCCCCACCCUGUUCAACCACCAGGGCAGCCCGCACAGGUGGGGGUGGGGGCGGGAGCUGGAGGGACAGUGGCUCCGCCGUCGCCGCCGUCGCCUCCCCUGCCUCCGCCACUGUCCGAGCGGGGGCAGGGGAGGGAGCGAGCGGCCAGCUCCAAGUCAGAGGAGCGGCGUGGAGCCUCCCCCGCCCCAGCUUCGUCAGGGGCGGAGGGCGGGCACAGAGGUGGGAGAGAUGCAGGUAUGCCACCACCCCCUGACAGCUCCAGAGGCAGAGACGGGGAAGGGGGAGGGGAAGGGGCAGGCUGGCCACCUUUCCCCGAGUACCCCAAACACGGAAGUGAAGGCAGAAAUGGACACGGGCAAUUGCGGCGGCAUUCCCCGGUACGGAGAACCGCAAGUUUCCAAGCCAGAGACAGGAGGAGCCGCUCGCUCUCCCCACCCUGCGGCGCGGCCAACAUUAAAGCUGAGGGCAGACGGGAUGGCCCCGACCCAGGCGGCUCUUGCAGAACUAGGGACGGGAGCACCUGCUUGCAGCCCCUGCCUCCCUACCCCUCCACUGCCGCAAAAAGCAAGACAGUUCUUCAUCAACAUUUGGCUGGAACAAUCUUUAAAACCAAUGAAGCAAUUUCAAUCAAAAGCGAAUGGGAUGAUUCUGAUGCAGAUGGUUCUCACGAGGAGGGUGGUAGAAGAAGGGGCAGGAUAGCCCGAGAAGCUAUGAAAGCAGUCAGUCCCGUCGCUAAACACACAAGGUCCAAAACAGAUAAAGGGGGGGAGGAAGAACUUGCGUUAGAAGCACCUCUGAGACAGGCUGUGGGAAAUCAAGGAGUGAUUUAUAUAAAGACGCUGUUUUCCCUCGGAGAAUUACAGCAGUGGAAAAACUCAAUUUGGAAGUACAGGGACAACCCGGAGAGAGUAGCUAUGUGUGUAGAAAUGGCCAUAAAAUCCCAAAACCCAGAUUGGGGUGAUCUAAAUGUUAUGCUAGAUGAAUUAUUGGAUAAAACAGAGAGAGAAAUGGUCAGAUAG
rnacentral:lncRNA from 13 species